rnacentral:lncRNA from 1 species
AGUUUCAUUUGGUGCUGAUUUAGAAGAGAAGAACAUUCCUGCCAUUCAUCCCACACCUCCUUUUCUGAAGGAGACAGGAAUGGGAAUUUGUAUAAUUCCCGGUGGAGCAGAAGCCAAUUUACAAGUGUGGCUUCCCUGGAGCCUAGAACCAGAGAAGCAGAUGAGAGACAGUUGAGGCAGUCAGACAGAUGGACAUCGAAAGGUCACUUUUGUAACGGAUACCUUAAACGUGGCUCCACCUUCAAAAUGAGUGCAGAAUCCCAGCCCUUCUCACCACCUCUUCUGCAACCACAUGGGCCAAGCCGUCAGCAUCUCUUGCCUGUGUUAUUGUAAUAGUCUCCCAAGUGGCCUCACUGCUUCUCCUCUGCUCCCUUGCUGAGCAUAACAGCAAGAGCAAGAGCAAGACUCUCAUCACGUUAUCAGUGGCUUCCUUUCUCGCUUCGCAUAAAAGCACA